rnacentral:lncRNA from 1 species
CCGAGGAUCUGCUCCGUGCUGCACCUGCAGCUCUGUUAAGAGUAGUUCAAGCCCUGCACCUGCCUACAAACAAACCACCUGAGCCCAGUUCUGUUUUUCCUUUUAAUGCAAAAAAAUAGCCAAACACAUCUUCCUCCCCCCUCCCCCCUCCCGCCCUCCCCAGGUGUGUUUCCUUCGCUGUUGUUUUGCUUCAUUCACAUUUCCAGCCCAGCAGCUCCCCCCCACCCCAACCCCCUCCAGCUCUCCCUUUUGCCUUCUGCUGGGAAGAGGAGGAAGGAGGGAGCACGGAGGUGCAGUCCCGGCGACGCACCGCUCCUAAUCCUGCAGAGAGAUUAUAGGAAGAAGGAAAAAAAAAAAAAACCAAAAACCCAAAAGAAUACAAAAAGAAAACCACCAAACGAGUAGCAACAAGCACGGAGCAGCCCCAGCACGCCGUGUAAACGGGAUCGCCCCCGAUCCGAUCCGGAGGCCGGCGCUCCUGGAAAGCAACAGCACGACAUGCUUUGCACACCCCCCCACCGUGGGGAGGCUGUGGUUUCAAGCUUGAGUUGUUCUUUUUUUUUUUUGCCUUGAAGCAAGUGAAGUGAUCGCAAGUCCUCCAAGCAGUGCCUGCAGCACCGAGCUCAGCCAGUCCUCAGCUCCGUCUCCAGGAUCACAGCUUUGCCCUCUGAUUCGUCUGCAUCCGCCUCGGGGUCGGGCGCCGGGUCGAUCUCAAUGAUGGUCUGCCCAUCAUCCGAGGUGCCCUCCACGGCCUGGAUGGUGGAGGUGAGGCCGGAUUCCAUGGCCACCAGUUCCACGGGGUUGACCACGGCUGCCACGUUGGCCAGGGCACCUCCAUCCUGCAUGGCAGCAGAGCUCAGCAGCGCCAGGCUGGAGGACGGGUGGAGGGUGACGGUGUCGGAGGAGUUGGUCUUGGAGGAGGACACCACGGUGGCGUAACGGAAGAGCUGAGAGCCAGAAGGCAAAGUGUGGACAGUCACCGGGCUGGAGCCUUGGCUGAUGGUCGCCACCGGGAUGUUGCCCACCGAGAACUGCUGGCCGACGGGGGCGAUGGCGAUGGGGGAGAUGACCGUGAACUGAGGCUGCUGGAUGGGGGUCGAGGGGCUGAGGACGGUGGCAGAGGCCGGACGCUGCAGGCGGGGUCGUUUGGGGGGUUUGGGAGCGCUGACGGGCAUCAGCACCACGUUCUGGAUGGUUUGGGACUUGGCCUUCUGGUCCUUGGCGAGUUUCUUCUGCUCUUCCAGCUGCCGUUCCAGGUCUGCAAAGAGAAAGGCUAAGCGGUGCGUGGGGCUGGGAGCAGCAGGCUCUGAGUGCUCCCAGGGGCUCUACGAUGGCCAGCCCACCCCAAGGAGGAGCAGGCACUGCUGCACACCGCUCAGCUGAUCCCACUGCCAAAAGGACAGGCACUUCUGCCCCCAGGGGAAACCCACCCACAAGGAACGGACAUCCCCUCCAGGCAGCAGGAACUGCUGACUGAGCACGGCUGGGUACCCCAGAAGCCAAGCCCUGCACCUGGGACAAGGAGCAGAGCUGCCUGGCUCAGCUCAGCCAUCCUCCUCAACUCUCAUCUGUGUCAACACUGGAAGCCAAAAGCAGCACACUAAUCUCAUUUAUCCAGGGCAGUAGGGGACUAGAACACCCCAGAUAAGAACAGGUUCUACAGGACACAGACAGGAGGGAGACACAUCCACCAAGCAGCUCUGGGGAAUCCAGGUCAGGUUAUUGGCUUCAGCUCAGGGGAUGCCAUGCGAGACACCGGAUAGCUCCACGCCGAGACAAGCAGACAGCUCAGCACCACGCAGACAAAGAGUUUUAUUAGCUUGGGUGCAGCACUGCACUGCCAGCAGCUCAGAUGACUGCAGCACAGCUCACAGCAGCACCUAUCUGCUAAUGCCAGCUGAAGCAGAUCAUGCUGCAGCAAAGGGCACAGCCCCUACUUUGGGCUGCUGAAUGCCCCGAGCACCUGCUCUCUCCUAGGAAGGGAUACAAGAAAUUCCACUCAAGCCCUAGGAUGGAGAGGGGUUUCGGGUACAUUUGUUUGAGGGCUACGUGGAUUGAAGAACCCAAAUGCAGUUUGUUAGGUGUUAUGUUAAGGAAAGGUCACAUUGGUUCCCAAGGGUGGCAAGAGGAUGAGAAGCCAGGGCAGUGACUCUACCUGCAAGUGUGUAAAGAAACUGCUCUUCUCCUUGCUCUGUCUGGUUUUUCCUGUUGUCCAGAACCUUCUUGACUGUGUCCAUCAGGCCAAACGUGUGAGCAACGUUGUUCAAAACUGCAGCAUCUGCAAGGGAAGUGCAGGAGAAGGAGUGCCUAGUCCCACAGGGGGCCAAGGGCCUCAGGCAGGAACUCCAAAGGUUCCAAACCCAAUUUUUUCUGCUGCUUUUUAUAAAACCAUUUCUGUUCUUCCACACGUGCUGGCUGACAAGGGCAGACCCAUCUCCUUCAUCCUUCAGACAUCCAAGGGCUAAAUAAAUUCAUUCACAUGAUAAUGAAAAUGAAACAGAGAUGUGUCACCCAAGCAGCUCAAAAUUGCUGCAAAAUGAAAGCAUAAUUUGCAAUCGCACAGAUACAAACCAGAUCUCCACCUACAAACCAUCACCCCAUGCAGUUGACAGUGUCAUUAAUGUACCAGCUCCACCAAAAGCUGUGCUAAAUUUCUUUUAUAAUCCACUGACUUCAAUCACUCACAGCUUCCAAAAGCUGCCACCUACCAGACACAAAGAUCCACCAGCCCAAAGCUACAGGAGAAGAAAAAAGCAUCCCAGGUAAAAUGAAGUUUGAGGUUGCAUGGGUGUUCUCUUAGAGCAUCAACAAGCUGUGCUGUCAGCCCAGUGCUCACAGGGCCACGAGCUGAACUGGAUUAGGGAAUGGAUCCAAGUCAGAAAUAAGCCUCAAAAGGGGAGGGAAGCUAUUUUUGACCUGGAUCGGUUCCCUCAUCUGGUUCAGCCCCAAAACAAGCUUUUUUGGCACAGGUGAGGACAGAAUGAGAAGUGAGAUGGCAAGAUCUGUUUAAACUCACAGCCAUGGAGAAAAGUGUUUGAGUAACUCCAGACCAAGCAGCACAUCGAGGCAGGCUUUAACGAGCACCUGGAGCUGAGGACAGUCAUCCAAUGGACUCCUCAAGCUGCCAGUCGGUGUGCUGCAGGAGCAGGGCAGCACGUUGAGUCCUUCUGCCUCGCAGUGAGGUAAAUGAAUGCACCUCACAGUUGGGCAGGCUGAGACCACACUCAGGCUCAGCAGGAGGGAACUCACCAUCCCGACUCAAUGCCUCUAAAUGCAAUGGCUGGACUCUUCUCACUUGUUUGCCUGCAGCUCCCUUUCAAGCAUCCUUCCCCAUGAUGGAGGCUCUGGCUCAUCACCUACCUGUCAUCUGGAAGGGAGACUGCCCCAGCCUCUGCUGGACGCCUCUCAGCACUUCUUCUAUCUCCUUCUGGAUGUUGCACACGACCUCUUCCAUCAACCCCACAUCAGCUAUUCCCUUCCAGAACAUCAGCGUGUCCUCUGGCACAGAGAGAAGGCAGAAGUCAGAUGCACAAGCAUUUGGCAUUUCCCCACAGGAUCACCUUAAACCUAUGCCACGCGCAGUAAGCUUUUUUGGCAAGGAUAACUUUGCAAAAUGACUUCUAAUUUGGCCAUUUGGGGUGGACAGAUGCAGGAAGCAGUUCACUAACAAGUUUUCAAACAGCCCCACGACCUCCAAGGCAACAUUCCAUUACUUCUAUUCAUCUUCCCAAGAGGCAGAGCUUAAAAUCUUUGAGGAAAUUCCUCCUCAGCUUCUGUACUGCUCCUGAGAGGGAAAGCAAAGCGCUGCAGCCAGAGAAACACAGCCAAGAGGGCUGACAGGGUACUAACAAGACUCUGCUCGCUGAUGGUUUCAGUCCAGCUCCAGGCUGGCAGGCAUUUACACCCUCUAAAUGAACAAAAACCCCACAGUGCUCACUGUAACGGGUUGCAACUGAUGUGAGGGAUCAACCCCGAGGUCGAGGCUGAAGUUCCACACUGCCUGCAAGUGGUAGGGAGCUCUGCUUGGCAGGGACCCUGGGAUAUUCUGGGAUGGCCAAGGGGCAGUGGGACAGCUCAACACCACCUCAGCUCUCCUUAUUUCCAGGAUUUUCACCUUCAAAACGUGAGCAGAGUGAGAAAAAACACCCAAGGAGCAGCCAGAGCUUACCUGAGAUCUCAUCCGUGUCCUUUUUCAUGCCCUCCUCAGUGGCCAUGGUGACAGCAGCUGUCAGAGCAGAGUUCCACUCGAUCCCCUCCUCCAUGCUUUCCUCCGACAGUGCAAUCUGGGUGAUGCUCCCUGCCAGACAGGCAACGUCAGCCCUCUCUGCAGCACCAGCCCGGAAUCCCUGCUUGGCUUUCCACCCCCCUGCCCAUCUCAGGCUCUUUUUCACUUUCAUGGCCAGGCUGGUUCUGCCUGGCCCCUUUCAAACAAAUCAGCUACAAGCAAGUCAUGCUGUUUCUCAUUGGAAGUAGGAUUGUGAAAGGCUCUGGGGCUUCUGGAGGGAAAACCACAUGCCUUCCAAAAAAACAAACUGGAGCUUUAGUAUUAAAGGAGAAAGGGAUCAGAACAGAGAGAUGGGGAACAGGCCUCAGCCCAGCCACCUUUCUCCUUCUGCAGUACCAACAGAGUGCUCUGCACCUCAGCCAUGCCCUUCUCUCUUAGGAAAUGACACAGCCUGCUAAUGGGUCCAUGCUUGUUUAUACACAUGAAAUGUAUCCAACUCGAUCUUAAGUUUUUGGAUCAAAUUUUGGACACCUAAGGCAAUAUCCAGCCACUGCAAUGUUUUCUCAUGUGGUCACAGAGCUUUCCAGGAGAUUUUCGUUAGCUCACAGACAGGUCUGCCAUCCCACCCCCCCGCAGCCUUAUAGAAAAGUAACCCUCCCAGAUGAACGAUGUGGUAUUCUUCUCCCUUGACCUCUGCAAAGAGAUCAUUUCCUGUUGCAAAGCAUGUGAUUAGCUGAGAAUUUGUAGCUGGAAUAUCAGUCAAAUUAAGCCUUCAGCCAUUGUACCCAAUUUGCUGACCUCCAGGUGAUGUGGAACAGACUGCUCCUGAGCUCAGCAUGCCUGGAGUCACUAGCAUUAGCCCAUGCCAUGCCUUUGUUAUAGACCCUACCAUCAGCUGAGGUGGGGGUCUGCACCACGCUCUGCUGCCCCGGCAUCGGUGCUCUGGCGCUGCUGAUCAGGAGAUCAAACUUGGUGCUUCGGCACGUGUUGGUGCAAACUUUGUCAUGCUGGUAGAAGUCGAUCUGUCCCGAGUCCAUCAUCUUCCUGUGCAGGGAGUGAGAGAGAAUCAGACUCAGCUAAAGGCUCAGCCUGGAGAUGAAAGGGAGCAUCCCACUUUGGCCAUGGGGCAGAUGGAGACAGGGGGAACCCUGUGCCGUUCUUCCACACAAAACUGCAGAGCUUUCAGGUGGUAUGCACAAGCCAACCCCCAGCUUCACACACAUCU